AUUGAACGCUGGCCGCAGGCCUAACACAUGCAAGUCGAGCGGAUGAAGGGAGCUUGCUCCUGGAUUCAGCGGCGGACGGGUGAGUAAUGCCUAGGAAUCUGCCUGGUAGUGGGGGAUAACGUCCGGAAACGGGCGCUAAUACCGCAUACGUCCUGAGGGAGAAAGUGGGGGAUCUUCGGACCUCACGCUAUCAGAUGAGCCUAGGUCGGAUUAGCUAGUUGGUGGGGUAAAGGCCUACCAAGGCGACGAUCCGUAACUGGUCUGAGAGGAUGAUCAGUCACACUGGAACUGAGACACGGUCCAGACUCCUACGGGAGGAAGCAGUGGGGAAUAUUGGAGAAUGGGCGAAAGCCUGAUCCAGCCAUGCCGCGUGUGUGAAGAAGGUCUUCGGAUUGUAAAGCACUUUAAGUUGGGAGGAAGGGCAGUAAGUUAAUACCUUGCUGUUUUGACGUUACCAACAGAAUAAGCACCGGCUAACUUCGUG
rnacentral:rRNA from 1 species